rnacentral:rRNA from 1 species
UACGUAGGGGGCAAGCGUUUUCCGGAAUCAUUGGGCGUAAAGGGCGCGUAGGCGGGCUUGCAAGUCUGAUGUGAAAGUGCGGAGCUUAACUCCGUAAAGCAUUGGAAACUGUGAGUCUUGAGGACAGGAGAGGAAAGUGGAAUUCCUAGUGUAGCGGUGAAAUGCGUAGAUAUUAGGAGGAACACCAGUGGCGAAGGCGACUUUCUGGACUGUAACUGACGCUGAGGCGCGAAAGCGUGGGGAUCAAACAGG